rnacentral:rRNA from 1 species
UACGUAGGCAGCAAGCGUUGUUCGGAAUUACUGGGCGUAAAGAGUGUGUAGGCGGUGCUCUAAGUUCGGUGUGAAAUCUCCCGGCUUAACUGGGAGGGUGCGCCGGAAACUGGAGUGCUCGAGCGUGGGAGAGGAAAGCGGAAUUCCUGGUGUAGCGGUGAAAUGCGUAGAUAUCAGGAGGAACACCUGCGGUGUAGACGGCUAUCUGGACGGUUACUGACGCUGAGACACGAAAGCGUGGGUAGCAAACAGG